rnacentral:rRNA from 1 species
AGCCUACACAUGCGAGAUCGAGNGGAUGAGUGGAGCUUGCUNNAUGAUUCAGCGGCGGACGGGUGAGCUAAUGCCCUAUCGAAUCUGCCUGGUAGUGGGGGAUAACGUUUCUGAAAGGAACGCUAAUACCGCAUACGUCCUACNGGAGAAAGUGGGGGAUCUUCGGACCUCACGCUAUCNGAUGAGCCUAGGUCGGAUUAGCUAGUUGGUGGGNUAAUGGNCCACCAAGGCGACGAUCCGUANCUGGNNUGAGAGGAUGAUCAGUCACACUGGAACUGAG